rnacentral:misc_RNA from 1 species
AACGCACAUUGCGCCCUUUGGUAUUCCAUAGGGCAUGCCUGUUCGAGCGUCGUUUAAAAGGUCAAGCUUUGCUUGGUGUUGGGGGCCUGUCCCGCUCUGCGCGUGGACUCUCCCUAAAGUCAUUGGCAGCGGUUAUGUUAGCUUCUCGCGCACACUUGCGGUCAGGGAGCAGCGAACUGGUGAUCCAUUAACGCUAUUAUCUACGUCGACCUCGGAUCAGGUAGGGAUACCCGCUGAACUUAA